rnacentral:rRNA from 13 species
AUAGGCGAAGGCGCAGCGAAAGCGAGUCUGAAUAGGGCGUCAAGUUCGUUGGAUUAGACCCGAAACCGAGUGAUCUAGCCAUGUGCAGGUUGAAGGUGCGGUAACACGCACUGGAGGACCGAACCCACGCCUGUUGAAAAAGUCGGGGAUGAGCUGUGGCUAGGGGUGAAAGGCCAAUCAAACUCGGAAAUAGCUGGUUCUCCGCGAAAUCUAUUUAGGUAGAGCGUCGGAUGAAUACUCUCGGGGGUAGAGCACUGGAUGGGCUAUGGGGGCUUACCGCCUUACUGAUCCUAACCAAACUCCGAAUACCGAGAAGUACUAUCCGGCAGACACACAGUGGGUGCUAACGUCCAUUGUGGAGAGGGAAACAACCCUGACCGCCAGUUAAGGUCCCUAAGUUAUGGCUAAGUGGGAAAGGAUGUAGAGAUCCCAAAACAACCAGGAUGUUGGCUUAGAAGCAGCCAUCAUUUAAAGAAAGCGUAACAGCUCACUGGUCUAAAUAAGGGUCUCCGCGCCGAAAAUGUACCGGGGCUCAAGCCAUACACCGAAACUGCGGGUGUGCACUUUAAGUGCAUGCGGUAGCGGAGCGUUCUGUAAGUCUGCGAAGGGAGACCCGCGAGGGCUCCUGGAGAUAUCAGAAGUGCGAAUGCUGACAUGAGUAACGAUAAAGGGAGUGAGAGACUCCCUCGCCGAAAGUCCAAGGGUUCCUGCUCAACGCUAAUCGGAGCAGGGUUAGUCGGCCCCUAAGGCGAGGCCGAAAGGCGUAGUCGAUGGGAAACAGGUUAAUAUUCCUGUACUUGGUGGUAGUGACGGAUGCCGUGUGUUGUAUCUCCUUAUUGGAUUGGGGGUGCAGCGAAGGUGUUCCAGGAAAUAGCUCCACCGUAUAAACCGUACCCGAAACCGACACAGGUGGACUGGUAGAGUAUACCAAGGCGCUUGAGAGAAUGACGUUGAAGGAACUCGGCAAUUUACCUCCGUAACUUCGGAAGAAGGAGGCCUUUUCAUCACGCAAGUGGUGGGAAGGGGCACAGUCCAGGGGGUGGCAACUGUUUAACAAAAACACAGGACUCUGCGAAAUCGCAAGAUGACGUAUAGGGUCUGACGCCUGCCCGGUGCCGGAA